AGGUUGUGUGUGUGUGUGUGUAUCCUGAGGUGUGUGAGGGUUGUGUGUGUGUGUGUCUUGAGGUGUGUGAGGGUUGCGUGUGUGUAUCCUGAGGUGUGUGAGGGUUGUGUGUGUGUGUCUUGAGGUGUGUGAGGGUUGUGUGUGUGUGUGUGUAUCCUGGGGUGUGUGAGGGUUGUGUGUGUGUGUGUCUUGAGGUGUGUGAGGGUUGCGUGUGUGUAUCCUGAGGUGUGUGAGGGUUUGUGUGUGUGUCUUGAGGUGUGUGAGGGUUGUGUGUGUGUGUCCUGAGGUGUGUGAGGGUUGUGUGUGUGUGUGUCUUGAGGUGUGUGAGGGUUGUGUGUGUGUAUCCUGAGGUGUGUGAGGGUUGUGUGUGUGUGUCUUGAGGUGUGUGAGGGUUGUGUGUGUGUGUGUCCUGAGGUGUGUGAGGGUUGUGUGUGUGUGUCUUGAGGUGUGUGAGGGUUGUGUGUGUGUAUCCUGAGGUGUGUGAGGGUUGUGUGUGUGUGUCUUGAGGUGUGUGAGGGUUGUGUGUGUGUGUGUGUGUCUUGAGGUGUGUGAGGGUUGUGUGUGUGUGUCUUGAGGUGUGUGAGGGUUGUGUGUGUGUGUGUCCUGAGGUGUGUGAGGGUUGUGUGUGUGUGUGUGUGUCCUGAGGUGUGUGAGGGUGUUGUGUGUGUGUGUCCUGAGGUGUGUGAGGGCUGUGUGUGUGUGUCCUGAGGUGUGUGAGGGUUGUGUGUGUGUGUCUUGAGGUGUGUGAGGGUGUUGUGUGUGUGUGUCCUGAGGUGUGUGAGGGUUGUGUGUGUGUGUGUGUCCUGAGGUGUGUGAGGGUGUUGUGUGUGUGUGUCCUGAGGUGUGUGAGGGUUGUGUGUGUGUGUCUUGAGGUGUGUGAGGGUGUUGCGUGUGUGUAUCCUGAGGUGUGUGAGGGUUGUGUGUGUGUGUGUCCUGAGGUGUGUGAGGGCUGUGUUCUUUUCUGUGCUCCUCUCAGGUACCUCAUGGUUUUUGUUCGUGGGGAGAGACGUGGCCGGCCCCGCUCCCCUCUCCGUGGGGCGGGCAGCUUCCAUCCCCAUCUUCACGGUGUCUCCAUGCUCCAGAGACUCCGUCAUCCCUGGGACACACAGGGCGUGUCUCUACCCUGGCCUCACAGCACCCUGAGAAGUUUGACCCAGCUGGAAGUUGUAACGUCCUCGAGUUUCUGGAAGCCUUUCUCAGUCAUCUCUACAGGUCUAAAUUCUCAGCUGUGAGUACUAAUUUGUGGCAUGAGGGUGAGGUGAAACAACAGAAGCCCAUGGCACAUCAUUGCAGAAUAUCCAUUAGACUUUCGCAAGUCACGAUCAUGGAUUUCAGGAUCUGACUCUUGUCAUCAUGGGAGACCUCAGAAUCUGACUGUUCAUCAUCACAGGAGACGUCAGGAUCUGACUGCUCGUCAUUACGGGAGACGUCAGGUACAGCUUAACAAUUAGCUAAGGGGUUCAUCUUACAGAUACCUCUAAUUACUGCUUUAGCUAAAAAAAAAAAAAAAAAAAAAAAAAAACCAAAAAAAAAAAACAACCAUGAAAGACACAGGUUUCCUGCAUCAUAUGAACCCAUAGUAAAUAUUUUGUGACCUGAUACUUAUGCAGUCAGAGCUCUGUUAGCCAAAACUAAAUAAUUGCCAGAAAAAUGAACACUAACAUUCAUAAUACUGUUCUGUAAACACUAUAAAAUCAUGGGACUUUUGAGUCAUCAGUGAAGGUAAAUACUUAACGCAACAUGUUUCUAUUCUGUUCCUUGUUAUUUUGUAUUUCACUAACUGUAAACUAAUCUACAACCUCCAGCGCCUAGCACUGUGCAGGCCGUUGCAAGACUUAAAGACGAGUAUGGCACGUGGUCCUGGGUGCCUGAGAAGUCAGGGCAUAGUGAGAGAGACGAAGAGACUGCACUAGGACAAUUAGCAUCUAGAUAUUAGUAGCAUAGUGCUGAGCAGAGUAUUUCACACAAGAGGGGACACCUUUCCAGGUCUUGAGCUGAGGCAGCUUUCUGUAGGAUCAGAGAGAGAGAAGGGAUAUUUCCAAAGGAAGGUGGUCAACCAAAGCCCAGGAGGAAGCAGUGGGUGCCUCCUCACCUGUGUUUCUGCACCUGUGCUUCCUCACCCGUGCCUCCUCACUUGCGUCUCCUCACCUGUGCCUCCUCACCUGUUCCUGCUCACCUGUGCCUCCUCACCUGUGCCUCCUCACCUGCACUUCCUCACCUGUGCCUCCUCACCUGUGCCUCCUCACCUGCACUUCCUCACCUGUGCCUCCUCACCUGCGCCUCCUCACCUGCACUUCCUCACCUGUGUCUCCUCACCUGUGCCUCCUCACCUGUGCUUCCUCACCUGAACUUCCUCACCUGCGCUUCCUUACCUGUGCUUCCUCACCUGUGAGGAGCUGUGCAAAGACUAUUUGGAUGGGAGAGGAGCUUUUCUUUAGGAUAUAAACCUAGAGGUAUAGCAUGGGUUGGAUGAUGGUCCUUUCAAAAUUCAGACACUCAACCUUGGACUUGACAUGAUCAUCAGUAGGAAUGUUUUUAAGUUUAGCAUGAUGAAAUUUGUAGAUUAUAUAAGAUGAUUCUGGCAGAAGCAUAUAAAUAAAUUGGAAGAGGAAGAGAGAGAAGCUGAGCCCAGUUGGGAAGCCAUUUAGUAACCCAGUCAUGAGGGAAGAAGAUUUAAGCUACCAAGUUUACAUAUUUAGUCCAUAAAAUGUGUGACAGGCAGAAUAAUGGCCCCCACAUUCUAAUCCCUGGAACUUGGAAAUAUGUCAGCUUACAAAGGGGACUGUGAGGUGAUGAAGUCAAGGAUCUCGAGAUGGAGAGGUUAUCCUGGAUGAUCUGGGCAGGCUCAAUGUCAUCACUAGGGAUCUUUACAUGAAGGAGGCCAGAGGGUCAGAGUCAGAGAGACGAUGUGACAAUGAAGGCAGGGAGGCCAGGCACAGUGGCUCAUGCUUGUCAUCCCAGCACUCUGGAAGGCCGAGGCAGGGGGAUCACUUGAGGCCAGGAGUUUGAGACCAGCCUGGCCAACAUGGCAAAACCCUAUCUUUACUAAAAAUGCAAAAAUUAGCCUGGUGUGGUGGUGCACUCCUAUAGUCCCAGCUACUUAGGAGGCGGGAGUGGGAGGAUCACUUGAGCCCAGGAGUCAGGGGUUGCAGUGAGCUGAGAUUGUGGCACUGGACUCUAGCCUAGGUGAGUGAGUGAGACCCUGUCUCAACAAAGAAAUAAGGAAGGAAGGAAGGAAGGAAGGAAAAGAGAUAAAAAGAAGAAAUAAAAAGAAAGAAAGAAAGAAGGAAAAAAGGAAGGAAGGAAGAAUGGGAAAGAAAGAAGGAAAGAGAAAGAGAAAGAAAGAAGAGAGAAAGAAAGGAAAACAGAAGGACAGAAAGAAAGAAAAAGAGAAAGAGAGAGAGAAAGAAAGAGAGGGUGCAGAGAGGUUUGAAGAGGCUCCACUCCUGCCUGAAGAGAGGAAGGGACCAGGAGCCGAGGAGCUCUCAGCCCCAGAAAGGGCAGGAAAGCAGAGCCCACUUCCAGCCUCUGGAGCGAACAAGCCUGCCAAGGCCUGAUCUGUAGCUCCACGAGACUCAGCCAGGAUUCUGACAUACAGAACUGUAAGAGAACAUGUGAUCGUUGUUUUAAGCCACUAAGUUUUGGUAAUUUGUUACAGAAGAAACUCUUUUUGAAUGUACAUUUCUAGGCCUUACCCACAUAAAUUCUGAUUCAAUAGUUCUGGGCUGAGAAUGUGAAUUUUUAACAAGUAUUUAAGUGGCUCUGACGAGGUGCCAAGAGUGACACUUCAGGAAAAUGUGACAGACAGUAAGCAACAGAAAUAUGAAGAAAGAGCCACCACUACCAACUCUACGCGGACACAAAUGGAGGUUCUGGAGAUCGAUGAGGCUCUGAUGAUGGAGGAGCACCUGGGCCAGGAUGGGUCUCACGUUUCCAGCCAGAGAGGAAGGAGGAGGCUGAGUGGCUGCACAGAGGAGAGGUCCACAGAGGGGAGAGUCCCCUCUUGGUUGCACUGGGUCUGCAGCAUGGCUGACCAGGUGCCCUAAUGCAGGAGGCAUCGGAAACUGUGGGCUCAAAGCUAAGCUACGAGCGGGAUACUGAAGAUCCGGAGUCAGAGCUUGCUGCACAAGUUUGAUAGUCGAGGGGAAGAAGUUAGAUCGGGUUAUUGGAGUUACAAGGAGAGAGGGACAGGGCAAGGAUUCCAGUACUGGAGAAUGUCUAGUUUACUGUAGCCAAGAUGCUGUAUUUUAGGGCAUAAUUUAAAAUGCUCCCUUGACUCCCCCACCCCAUGGAAGAUCUUAGGUGGAGGGGCCCUGCUGGCCCCGCAUGGGGUCCUCUGUGAGCACCAGCUCCUCUUCUCCGCUCUUUCCCUCUGUCAUACUGAAGCUCUCUAUUGUGGGAGUUGGCCGUAUUAGGGGCAGACCCUCCUCCCCUCGAUGUUACCUCUCUGCUAUCUGAGUAUCAAGUCAGAGUCUCCUUCUCCCUGAGCCUCCCAAACUGUGGGGACUUACGUACCAGUGUCGUUUCAGUUUUUGUAUGACUGUAGAUAUGUGAAAAUGAAUAUUUGAUUGAUAAAAUCUGAUUGCUUUUAAAAAUUGUCCUGACCUCCAAGCCCUGGGGCUCCUCCUGACCCCUGUGGGAACCCACCACUUAACUAUGCAAGGGCCUGACUCAUCGAGUGUCACAGCUUGGGGAAGAAACGCCAGCCAUGAGCCAGAGAAACAAAAAUGAGGGCCUGUCCCUAAAAUGCAGGAUCCAAGGGCCUCCAGCUGGAUGGAAAUCAGGCAACACCUCUCGGAAUCCAGGCUCACAGAAAGUCAGUUUCAAUUAGAAUUUUUUUUUUUUUGAGAUGGAGUCUCGCUCUGUCGCCCAGGCUGGAGUGCAGUGGUGCGAACUCGGCUCACUGCAAGCUCUGCCUCCCGGGUUCACGCCAUUCUCCUGCCUCAGCCUCCCAAGUAGCUGGGACUACAGGCGCCCACCACCUCGCCCGGCUAGUUUUUUGUAUUUUUAGUAGAGACGGGGUUUCACCGUGUUAGCCAGGAUGGUCUCGAUCUCCUGACCUUGUGAUCCGCCCACCUCGGCCUCCCAAAGUGCUGGGAUUACAGGCGUGAGCCACCGUGCCAGGCCUAGAAUUUAAAACAUCCCUCUUCAUGCCACAACUCUUCAGGCCACUGACAAGGUGACAGGGCCACACUUUGUACAGGAUACAAACAUAUUCCCCAUGGGUGGACAAAGUCACCCCAUAGCCCGUCUACACCAAGGAGCUGCACCUGUGCCCUGAGUAGCUGGAUGCAAUUUUGUAUUGUCGGAGAAUCUACUUUAAGUUGUUCUUCAGCAAAUUCUUCCAAAGUACUGUUUUCUUUCCUCAAUUCCUG
ensembl:lncRNA